UCUCCGGCCGCGCCGCGCCGCGCUUCUCCGUUCUCGCCCCAGCACCACCGCCUCCGCCGGACGCACGGGCAGCUGGCGGGCCGGCCGCGGGCAGGGGGGCCGCCAGCCUGGGCUACACCGCAGAAACCGAGAAGGCAGGAGAGAAAUAUGCUGCAGAUCUGAACUUGAGUCAAAUGACUUCACUAUAGUCCGUGAUCCUCCAAGAAUUAACCAACUAAACAGGAAUUUUACAAAUACGACCUAAGAACACUGGUGAAGCCUGGGAACUUGGAGGAGAAAUGGGAUCAUAUGGGUGCUGGCUGAUUGGCUGCUUUGGAAUUCCUUCCUGCUUAGUCAAAGCCCUUUCAUCAGGCUGCGAAUAGCAAGUCAGCACGAUACAACGCUGCUGGUUCCUACGCGGAGAUCUGAUGACCUGCAUCUACUCUGCCCCGCUGCAGCAUUUCCAGAAGCGCCCUUGAGCCGGCGUCCGCGGAGCGUUCGGGCUGAGCCGAGCCGGGUGCGCCGCGAACGCCGCCCCGCAGCUCUGCAGAGGGUCGCUGGACCGAGAGCCGCCCCAGGGCUGCGCUUCGCGGGAACCGGGACCUUUCACCGCCCCCCGGCGCCGCUGCGCUCUGCCGCGGGAAACUCCCCGAGCAGCCCCGGCUUCCAGGUAGCGCCUCGGAGCACCGCCGGAUCCUGAGGCAGACCUUGCCCAGCUCUCCCACGUUACCACCCGCACGUUUGAGAAAAACCUCAAAUUAAAAAGACAAAGUCACUUUUUGCAUCAAACAUAAGCCUUGACAUGUAUAACUACGAUAAAAUUCGGGGACGGUUCACCUCAUGUGUUUCAAAUGUUCCUAUACAUAUUUUUUUUUUUUUUUUUUUGCAGAGGGAAUUAUGAAAGGGAAAUAGCACCCCAAAGUGUAUUUUGCAAUGUUACAAAGAGAAAAAAGAACAAUAUGCUGUUUUACUGUGAGUUUACUAUUCAAUAUUCCAAUGGAUCAUUCAAUCAGGAAAAAAAAAAGAAAAAGAGUACUGCAAAUAAAUUAAAUUUUCAUCCUGAGCCGCGGUAUUGUUGUCAGCACAGGUUACUAAACUGUGAAAUAAGAAAAGAACAUGGAGACCCUGUUUGCACUUAGUUGCAAAUAAACUGUAGAACAUGAUAUUGUUAGUUGACAUUUCAAUUGUGAAAGUUUCUCAUUUCCUGCAAGCUUAGGCAAAUGAGGGAUUUAAACUAUAUUUUAUUUUUAUGGCUACAUUUUCCAGUAGUCAGCUGUUUCCGAUUGACAAUAAAAUUCCUAAUGGUGGUUCUCUGUUUUA